rnacentral:pre_miRNA from 1 species
GCGGCGCGAGCAGAGAGGCGCUGCCGUGUCCAAAGCAGCAUCUCUGGACGCGCUCGUUC